rnacentral:rRNA from 1 species
GUAGGGAAUAUUGGGCAAUGGAUGCAAGUCUGACCCAGCCAUCCCACGUGCCGGAAGAAGGCCCUCAGGGUUGUAUACGGCUUUUGACGGUGAAGAACCGACAGGAAGCGUCCUGUUUUGACGGUAGCCGUUGAAUAAGCACCGGCUAACUCCGUGCCAGCAGCCGCGGUAAUACGGAGGGUGCGAGCGUUGUCCGGAUUUAUUGGGUUUAAAGGGUGCGUACGCUGGAAGGUCAGUCAGCGGUGAAAAGCUAUCGCUUAACGAUAGUCUUGCCGCAGAUACUUCCUUUCUGGGAUGAGGAGGAGGCCACUGGAACGGAUGGUGUAGCGGUGAAAUGCAUAGAUAUCAUCCAGAACACCGAUUGCGAAGGCAGGUGGCUGUACCUUAAUCGACGCUGAUGCACGAAAGCAUGGGGAGCAAACAGGAUUAGAAACCCCAGUAGUCC